AUACGGAGGAUGCGAGCGUUAUCCGGAUUUAUUGGGCUUAAAGGGAGCGUAGGCGGUAUAUUAAGUCAGCUGUGAAAGUUUGGGGCUCAACCUUAGAAUUGCAGUUGAUACUGGUUUCCUUGAGUACGGUACAGGUGGGCGGAAUUCGUGGUGUAGCGGUGAAUGCUUAGAUAUCACGAAGAAAUACGAUCGCGAAGGCAGCUCACCGGGCCGGAACUGACACUGAUGCUCGAAAGUGCGGGGAUCAAACAGGAUUAGAUACCCUGGUAGUCCGCACAGUAAACGAUGAAUACUCGCUGUUUGCGAUACACGGUAAGCGGCCAAGCGAAAGCGUUAAGUAUUCCACCUGGGGAGUACGCCGGCAACGGUGAAACUCAAAUGAAUUGGCGGGG
rnacentral:rRNA from 1 species